rnacentral:rRNA from 1 species
CAGCCGCCGCGGUAAUACCGGCGGCCCGAGUGGCGGUCACUAUUAUUGGGCUUAAAGCGUCCGUAGCCGGGUUGGGGAGUCCUCCGGGAAAUCUGGCCGCUUAACGGUCAGAAUGCCGGAGGAUACUCCCAGCCUAGGGAGCGGGAGAGGCCGAGGGUAUUCCCGGAGUAGGGGUGAAAUUCUAUAAUCCCGGGAGGACCACCUGUGGCGAAGGCGCUCGGCUGGAACGCGUCCGACGGUGAGGGACGAAGGCCAGGGGAGCAAACCGGAUUAGAUACCCGGGUAGUCCUGGCUGUAAACGAUGCGGACUUUGUGUCGGACAAGCUAUGAGCUUGUCCGGUGCCGGAGGGAAACCGUUAAGUCCGCCGCCUGGGGAGUACGGCCGCAAGGCUGAAACUUAAAGGAAUUGGCGGG